GUCCUAGCUCAGUUGGUAGAGGGUGAGACUCUUAAUCUCAGAGUCGUGGGUUCGAGUCUCAUGUUGGGCG